CUAUACCGCGUGUGUGAAGAAGGCCCUAGGGUUGUAAAGCACUNUANNCAGGGAAGAAGCAUAUUAAGUUAAUACCUUAAUACGUUGACGUUACCUGAAGAAUAAGGACCGGCUAACUCCGUGCCAGCAGCCGCGGUAAUACGGAGGGUCCAAGCGUUAAUCGGAAUUACUGGGCGUAAAGCGCGCGUAGGCGGUUUAAUAAGUUGUAUGUGAAAGCCCUGGGCUCAACCUAGGAACUGCAUACAAAACUAUUAAGCUUGAGGACGAGAGAGGAGAGUAGAAUUUCAGGUGUAGCGGUGAAAUGCGUAGAUAUCUGAAGGAAUACCAAUGGCGAAGGCAGCUCUCUGGCUCGUUUCUGACGCUGAGGUGCGAAAGCGUGGGUAGCAAACAGGAUUAGAUACCCUGGUAGUCCACGCCGUAAACGAUGAUAACUAGCCGUUGGGCAGAUUUAACUGUUCAGUGGCACAGCUAACGCAUUAAGUUAUCCGCCUGGGGAGUACGGCCGCAAGGCUAAAACUCAAAUGAAUUGACGGGGGCCCGCACAAGUGGUGGAGCAUGUGGUUUAAUUCGAUGCAACGCGAAGAACCUUACCAACCUUUGAAAUCCAGAGAAGUCACCAGAGAUGGAGAUGUGCCUUCGGGAACUCUGUGACAGGUGUUGCAUGGCUGUCGUCAGCUCGUGUCGUGAGAUGUAUGGUUAAGUCCAGUAACGAGCGCAACCCCUAUCCUUAUUUGCCAGCGCGUANUGGCGGGAACUAUAG
rnacentral:rRNA from 1 species